CAAUAUGGCGGUCAAAAGGAGUUAUGUAUCAUUUUUAUCAAAGAAUCAAGGAAUGCCAAUGGUUGCACUUGGAUGGGUCGUCGUCAUCGUAUCUGGAAUAACAACAUUUGUUUUCGCUAAAAGACAUGUCGAUCGCUUGAGGAUGGAAAAAAUUCGCCGUGAAAGACAGUCAAGGAUAGAGAACGAUUCUUGAUUACUGAAUGUUGAGGGGAAGUUGCUCUUAAACAUAAAAGCCUGAAGUUCUUCCAAUUUUAGUCGUGUUUACGGUUCCCAUUACAUUUUUAUUAAAACUGGGAAAUUUCAUAAUAAAAAAAGCAGCUAAUAUUGACACUGUAUUCCUGUCGAUUAAAAGUAAAUGGUAUCGUGGAAUUUGUAUAUAAGCCGGAGAGCUAAGAAGGGGAUACUUAUGGUAGUUACUCAAAAUAAAAGUUCUAGAAAGUAUAUCUCUGACAGAAA